UGGGGCUGGACAUGGAUGGCGGCGCACUCAGCCCACUGUUCCCUUUGGCUUGCAGGUGGCCAUCAAAAAGGUGCCACGGAACCGUGUUCAGCACUGGGGCGAGCUGAGACGCCGGAGAAAGGACACGUAACCCGGAAGCCGAGGCACAUAAAAGGAGAAACACGGAAGCGGGAAGCGCGGCAGUUUCGCGGAGAAGAAAUUUUUACCUUCUCCCCUGUCGCCUGGCGCCGACUUUUGCUUAUUGCUGGCUUGCUGUAAUUAAUAAAACCUUUCCUUAUAUCUCUCUCUCUAGUGCA
rnacentral:lncRNA from 1 species